CCGUUUCGUAAAUAUCACAAUUUGUGGGGGCAGAAGGUAACUGUAUAAUUUAAAUACCAUCUCGUAGGGAAUAAUAAUAUGGGAACAAAAUCACAAUUGGUUUGGAGCAGAGAGGGGAUUUAGGGUUUACUCGAGAGUCUCGACCAUCAUGUUUCUCAGUCAAUGCGAAGCCAAUACGGCGAUAGAAGAUUCCAUGGACGCAUCAUCUGCUUCAAUGGUUGUCACAUCUUUACCGACAAAGCGUAAGGCCGAGUUCGACCCGGAGGAGGAGAGCGAUGGUGAGAAUGAAGAAGAAGAAGGGGAAACCAAAAUUGAAGAGCGUAAGGCUGGAAUAGAUUACUUGAAGGUGCCAGAAUGGGA
rnacentral:lncRNA from 1 species